rnacentral:rRNA from 1 species
GCGGCGGGGCUCACCUCUUCCCAUCCCGAACAGAGAAGUUAAGCCCGCCUGCGCAGAUGGUACUGCAUCUUGUGGGAGAGUAUGUCGUCGCCUUUC